rnacentral:rRNA from 1 species
UACGGAGGGAGCUGAGCGUUGUUCGGAAUUACUGGGCGUAAAGCGUGCGUAGGCGGUUAUUCAAGUCAGAGGUGAAAGCCCGGGGCUCAACCCCGGAACGGCCUUUGAAACUAGGUAACUAGAAUCUUGGAGAGGUUAGUGGAAUUCCGAGUGUAGAGGUGAAAUUCGUAGAUAUUCGGAAGAACACCAGUGGCGAAGGCGACUAACUGGACAAGUAUUGACGACUGAGGUAC